UAGGGAAUAUUGGUAAUGUGCGAAAGCGCGAACCAGCAACGCCGCGUGCACGAUGAAGGCCUUCGGGUCGUAAAGUGCUUUUAGAGAGGAUGAGGAAGGACAGUACUUUCUGAAUAAGCCUCGGCUAACUACGUGCCAGCAGCCGCGGUAAAACGUAGGAGGCUAGCUUUAUCCGGAUUUACUGGGCGUAAAGCGCAUGCAGGUGGUUUUGUAAGUUGGAUGUGAAAGCUCCUGGCUUAACUGGGAGAGGUCGUUCAAAACUACAAGACUUGAGAUUGGUAGAGGAAAAUGGAAUUCCGGGUGUAGUGGUGAAAUGCGUAGAUAUCCGGAGGAACACCAGUGGCGAAAGCGGUUUUCUGGACCAAUUCUGACACUCAGAUGCGAAAGCUAAGGUAGCAAACG
rnacentral:rRNA from 1 species